rnacentral:rRNA from 1 species
UACGUAGGGGGCAAGCGUUGUCCGGAAUCAUUGGGCGUAAAGAGCGCGUAGGCGGUCCGGUAAGUCCGCUCUGAAAGUCCGGGGCUCAACCCCGGGAGGCGGGCGGAUACUGUCGGGCUAGAGUCCGGAAGAGGCGAGUGGAAUUCCUGGUGUAGCGGUGAAAUGCGCAGAUAUCGGGAAGAACACCGGUGGCGAAGGCGGCGACCUGGUCCGAUACUGACGCUGAGGCGCGAAAGCGUGGGGAGCAAACAGG